CAGCCGCCGCGGUAAUACGAAGGGGGCUAGCGUUGUUCGGAUUUACUGGGCGUAAAGGGCGCGUAGGCGGACUGAUAAGUCAGGGGUGAAAUCCCAAGGCUCAACCUUGGAACUGCCUUUGAUACUGUUUGUCUUGAGUUCGAGAGAGGUAAGUGGAACUGCGAGUGUAGAGGUGAAAUUCGUAGAUAUUCGCAAGAACACCAGUGGCGAAGGCGGCUUACUGGCUCGAUACUGACGCUGAGGCGCGAAAGCGUGGGGAGCAAACAGGAUUAGAUACCCCUGUAGUCCCUGUCUCUUAUAC
rnacentral:rRNA from 1 species